UACUAACUACUCAACAAUUGCUCGAUCAUCUAGUAGGUCAGGUUACAGUUAUUUUGCAGACUCGACUUUUUACUCCUUAAACAUCCGUAACCGUUAGUUAAACAGACAUCCUUAAAAGGUUUAAUGUGCUAAAACACGGUAAAUUACAGUAAUGUCCUCCUCCACAAGGGCAAUAAGUAGCAGCUGGUAUAUACGCUCGACGAACAAUACUUAAGUUACUCUCGAUUAAAUAGAAUUAGUCAAUUUAAUUCUGUAUAUGAUUUUAAUUGUUUAAAUUGUCUAACAAAUUUCACUAAUUUGGGCAAGAAGAAAGCUAUUAUUCGUAUAAAUUAGUCGACAAACUACGUUACAUUUACAGUGUAACAAUUUUGAUCUUGUUAGGGACAACAUAAUGAAUACAUACUAGUGAAUUAGAUAUCUCAUUAAAUUAAAA